CCCCAGCGGUUACCAUGGUGAUGAAAACCUGGACCCAGUGGAAAGUUCUCUGUGCUCUUGGCAACCAGACUGCAGCACCCUGCCUCCCCCUGCCUGCCUGUGCGUGGGCGGCCAGCUCCGGCUGCUGCCAGGAUUUGGGGCCAGCACGGCCUCGCUGCAAGACCCAGCCCUGCCCCCAUAGAAUCUAGGAUGGGAGCUUCGGCAUGUCCGGUGCCAGGGGCCCUCAGAGAAUAUCUAGCCUGUCCCAUUUUACUGAUGGGACCCUGGGCCACAGAGGACUAGUGGCUUGUCCAAAGCCGCACAGACCCCCUGGGGUCUCCCUCCUGGGCUCGGCUGUGAGUCGGGUGGGCACGGAGCACCCGGGAACAUCGCAGACAGGGGACUAGCCACAUGGCAGGCCAGUCCCAGAAAGCAGGCCAGCCGCUGCAGCCAGGAGGAUGCAGAAGACAAAGGGACUCCAGGAAGCUGGACACUGCCUUCCUCUUCUCUCCUAGACACAGUGGUGGAUGGCAGGCUGAAUGUUGGUCCUGAAGAUUGCUUCCAGCAGAGGACAACUGCCUCCCUUCAAGGUUGCCAAAAUUUAAUGUCAUCAUCUACAUGCUGGGGACACAACAGUGAGGGAAACGGACUGGGAGCUUACAGUUGACCGAUGGGACCCAACAGGUGGUCACUGCACACUGGAAUGUGGGACAUAUAGGACGCCUCCUGAACACGAAGAAGGAGACCUACCUCAGUUCUGCAGAGUCCGAGAAGACUUUCCCGAGAAGCUGACAACUCAGCUAAGACCUCAAAGAUAAGAUGGUUUAAUAGCUGGCCAUGAUACCUCCCAUGCCACUGUACUUCUUACAGCAUGGUGCCAAUACUCGUCCCUUUGAGAAGUGGGGUCUUUGUUCCCUUCCCUUGAGUUUUGGCAGGCCUAUGACUAUGUCAGAGGUAAAGUUAUGUGACUUCCGAGACUGGAUCAUGAACGGCAACACCGCUUCUGCCCAGUUCCUUAGAAUGAAGGAAGGCUGGCACCAUGGUGUGAGGAAGCCCAAGCUACACAGAGGCUGCAUGUGGAUGCUCCAGCCAACUGCCCCAGCCAAGGCUCAACCGCCAGACAUGGGCAUGAAGACAUCUUCAGAGCAACUCUGGCCCCAGCCACCGUGAUGGCAGGAGAGGCUCCCAGGGAGAACCAGUCAACCCCCAGGACUGUGGGACGUAGUAACAAAAUCUUGUUGGGGGCGAUGUGUUACCUGAAGAACAAUGAACAAAAAAUGCUGGUGUGU